rnacentral:lncRNA from 1 species
ACCCACUGUUAUGACAACGUGUAUAGGUGUAUAUCAAGAUUGUGUUAUCCUUGCAAAAUAUUGCAUGUAUUGCGUUUUCUAGUAAAAUAUCCAUUUUGAACGAGAAUGCAUUAUUUUUUAAAUAAAUUUUAUCGGAAAAAUAUAUGAUUCAACAUCUUCUCGUCACCUUUGCUCUCCAGAAAAUCCAAGACAGUGAAGAAUAAAAUUGGUGACGCGUAAUAUUAAAGCGAUAUUUAAACAACUCAAGCGUGACCUACAAUAAACUGAAACGAAGCAAUAGUAUUGCAAAGAAUAUACCUUAUUCAAUCGAAUGGAGUUCAGAGAUUAACUAGUAGGUUUGUUUUCUUUGCAAUGAUUUAUGAUCUGGCUACUCUUCUAUGUCAUUAUCACAAGAUAUGUGUUUUUAAUGUUCUUAUAGUAUGUUUGUAAUUGCAUCACUGUAAACUGUUUUAAGAUAAUAAAUAUAAUAAUUAUAGUAUUAAGAAUAGAUUGAAAUUUUUUAUAUUGAAUCAGUUUAAACGCUUCGUGUUUCAACAUGUUUUAAAAAAAUAGUCAUUGCUUUGUUCUUGUGAUGAUUUAUAACAUACCAUUCAUUACAUUCUGACAGUAGAUCGAAAAUGAGAUGUCAUGUCAAACAUGUGUAUCCUAACACGAUUUGUGAACACCGUAUAUGUAUUCUCUAAGGGAUAAUACUCUCAUUGUUUUCCAUUUUUUUGGACUUGGUUAAAGUGGUAUUUUUGCAAACAUUAUGCAGGAUUUGGCGUUGUUUUAUACGUGUACUUUGCAUACAUAAAAUCAUCAUUGUCAGUUUCUACAGGGAACAUUCCAUACAAUGUUUAAUUGAACGUAUGAAUGUAAAUUUCUUUUGAAGUUAAACGAAUCAAAGUUUUUAUUUUGCUUCCUGUUAACAAGCAUGAGUACCUAAGACAAACGCUUAUUUGUUAUUUCAAAGUCAUAUUUACAACCAAAAAAAUUCCUAAAUCGAUAUUACCACUUUAAACUUAAACAUGGUCUGCUUCAAAUUUUGAAUGCCUCUGCUGAUAUUUGAAAACCUAAUUCUCAUCUUUAAAAUUAAAUGUGUCAAAAAUUGUAGUGAUAAAUAGUAUAAAAUCUAGGCUUGUUUAUGUACUUUGUACAUCAUUUUUUUUUGUAAACAUAAAGAAUGCUUAAUUGGACAAUUUGUUAUGGUCUUUUAUAUAUGUUUUAUAUAUAUGGUAUGGCUAUAUAAACGUUGUCAGAUUUGGAUUAAAUAAUUAAUCAUUUAUGUCAUUUAUUUUUUUGUAGCAGUAGUCUUUGGACUUAGUAAGAUUGAACAUUUUUCCUACGUGUAAAAUGUUGUUUUAAGCGUGCGAUCCUAUAUUUCAGUUACGCAUGGCAUUGACACAAGGACCAGGUUUCCAAAUUUGUUUUUUCCUGAUUGGCCAGUAUUUUGUGUGUUUUGUGUGCACCACGAAACCUCUUUCUAAAUUAUUAACAUCUAUCUUAUCAGCAAUCACAGCCGGGCCUCAAAGAUAUUAUGAAACUGCCUUUUCUAGAGGUGGCGUGAAUCAAAUGUGGAUACUAAAUAAAAAAUUCCAAAGACUUUUAGAGUUCAUACAAUCUAAGACUCUUCAUCUUGUAAUAGUAUUAAAACAUUUGACUUUUCUACACUUUACACAUUCAAGUAUUCCUAUUCCAAACUAAAAGACAAAUUGAAAGAGUUGGUAUUGCUUUGUUUCAUAAAAAAAGAAUGGCAAACGUAGAUCUUGUCUUAAGAAGGGAUAAAUCCUACUUUGUAAAGGAUCACUCUGAUUCAAACAAAACAUUCUCUAAAACUGACAUUAUCAAGAUGAUUGCUUGAUUGAUUGACAACAUAAUUGUUACGUUUGGAGGACGUGUUUUUCAACAGACUGUCGGCCUUCCAAUGGGAACCAAUUGUGCCCCUCUUCUUGCCGACUUGUUUCUUUAUUCAUAUGAUGCUGAACUUCUUACAAGAACUUCUUAGGAAGAAAGAUAUGAAGUUAGAAUAUCAUUUUUUACUUUACUUUCCGCUAUAUAGUCCGCUUACCCUUCCGGAGCACCUGUGAAUACUCCCAGUUUUGGUGGAAUUCGUGUUGCUUAGUCUUUAGGUUUGUAUGUUGUGUCAUGUGUUUAUAAAAAUAACUAUAGCACUGAAACAAUUAUAAUGACACAAGACACAUGAAAUAUAACAACAGUGUAAAUGAACCUGUGGGUCCUCCUUGUAUAAACUUCAUAAAAUGUGGAUAAAACAUAAGUAUAUAAAAGGAAACAUUAUACAAAGAAACAUUCUACUGGAUUUAACCAAAUACAACUCUUUUAAAAGAAUCCCGCUUUGCUGUAUAAAAAUUUAGCUGAACCGGUAGAAAACUAAUUAUCAUCGGAAUAGCACAUCCUAAUUUUAACGUUGGUGUAAUAGAUCCUUUAAAAAACGUAUUCUAAAGGUUACCAGUUCAACACUGUUAUCAUAUAUUUGAAUUUUGUUUUAUCGGUAUAAUUAUUGAUUUUGUUAUCAAUAAGAUAAAACCCAACUAAAUACUAUUGUUACAUUCCUUUUCCUUCAAUGUGUCGAUUUUUAUAUUUUGGCUUUGAACAAAGUCCUGUAUUUCUAUGACUGUUAAUGACAACUUUAUUCCCAAUCCUUUGGCUGUUGGAUGUGAAGUAAUUGAUAUUUAAGAUUUAUUUAAUUAAGUGCCAGUCUGCCUAAGAAUCAGGCAGUGGUGAAAACAUGACCAAAAAAACCCACCCUAUCUGACAUUGAUUUCAGUUCAUAAUAUGUAGCUAUGCACAAAAAUAACAUUCAUUUCCAUUUUCUGUUCUGGUAAUAGAAGAUACAAUUUGGUUGAAAUGCACUACAAAUUAACGAAUAAGGGGAGAUAAUCUGUAAUUUGCUAUCAUUCUAACCAAUUUUCUAACCAAGUUAUUUGAUAUUAACAGACACACACAAACAAAAGACUAACACUUUUUACCUCAGGAUGAUGGUUAGUAUUAAAUAGCAUGAUAAGCUCGGUGGUUUUUUUCUAAUCAUGUUUUAAUUUUUACCUAAAUUGCAAAGACUGGCACUUAACGCAGUUGUUAUUGGCUUUAAACUCGCUUUCAAUGAGAGAGAGGCAAAAGAUAACAAAGGGAAACUUAAACUCUUUUGUUGAAAAUAAACUGAAAACUCAAUGAUAAAAACCGAAAAGACAAAAAAGUGCAGUGACAAAUCAAGAAAAAUAUGCGUAUUUUAAGACUGUAACGGACCGGCAUAACUGUAGUCUAAAAACAUUUUUUUUUUGCAAAGCCAACAUCUUAAUCUUACUUUUUGCCUGACCAAAGCCCUUUUCUGUGGUGCAGUUUAUAUAAAAUGGAAAGAAAAAUUACAUUUGUAUUUGUUUUCAAAUUUCAACAUGAGAAACAAUUUGAUUUUUUUUCUUCGUUUUUUUUUUUGGCAUAUGAUUUUGCAUUUUAUAAAGAGUUUAAGUGUUUAUUCAUAUUGUAACACUGUAAUUCCUCCUUAUUAUCCUUAAUUUUGUCCAUUUUGACUCAGUUUAACGAAUGCACACUCCAUAUUAUUUUAACGAAGUUGAAACAACAUUUGUAAAUUUAGAUUACAUCGAUAAUUUUAUGAUUUUUCGAUUUGAAAUGUUGAAAACUCAGUAUUGUCGAUGUAAUCAGUGGUCGCAAUACAGCACAAAACUCUGUAAAAGUAUCACUUUACCCCUAAAAGAUAUACGAUUAAGCACAAAAAUAUUAACACAUGAUAGAUUAAAAUAAAUAAAUAUCGGUGGAAUAAUUUAAAAGAAAGAUAAAACAUAAAUGUAACCAAACAUAUCGUUUGUUUAUGGGUGACAUAUUUGUUUUUUUUAUGGGUUUUUGAAACAUAAAUUAGGCCGUUAGCUUUCUCGUUUGAUUUUUUUAGUGUCAUUUCGGGGCCUUUUAUAGCUGACUCAGCGGUAUGGGCACAUGUAUAUUGUUGAAGGCCGUACGGUGACCUAUAAUUGUUGAUUUCUGUGUCAUUUGGUCUAUCGUGGAGAGUUGUCUCAUUGGCAAACAUUUCACAUUUUUUUUUAUAUAUUGGUAUAUAUAUGCUUUAUUAGAUAUAUCUACUGAAAUACUUGCAGCAAAUAUCUAUUGCGUAGUUAUAACAAGCUUGCAGAAAAGAUAAAUAUUAUGUUCAAACAUAAUUGAUGUUUACUGUAAGCUUGCUUCACAAACGCUUUGGAUAUGCACCCUUGUUAAAUAUAUCUAUUGUAGGUCUUCCUUAAAAAAAUCAGCAUUUCAAACAAAUAUGCGUCAGACCUACAGAUCGAAACCUUUUCAUGUUAUAGUUUCAAAAAAGUUUCUCAUCGUUUUUUCAUGAACAUAAAAUUGAUUUUUUGUGGAUUGAAUCCGUCAACAAAAUGGUGCACUUUUGUUUGACUUUCAAUGUAAGCAUUCUUCUUUUUCUUUUAGUGGGAGAACAAGACUCAUAUAUGCUUAACAAAUUUUUAACUAAUAGGUUAAGCUGAAAGUCACAUGAAUACAGAUUCAAUGAGGUGGAAUUAUUCGCUAGCAAGUGAAUAAUACAUCAUCGAUGGGUUUUUUCCAUACUAAAGUGGCUGCUUAAAGCAAAUUAUUAUUUCACAAUUUAACUUUCACUUAUGAUUUGACAAAAAAAAAGAAAGUUACUUUUUUUAUAGAUCUCAUAGCCCAUUUAAAUGAGUUUUGAUAAUGAAAAAUAUUAGAAAAGGCUAUAUCUAUGAAUCUAACAUGUUGAUAAAGUAAAAAAAAAAAACCCAAAAAUACAAAGACUUUCAUCGCAACAUACAUUUAAUAUCUAAUCUAAUCUAAUUACAAAAUACAAAAAGUGUAAAAAGUAUUGUAACCAGUAUGUUAUGAGGCUGUCAAACAGGAUUUUUAAAGGUAAACAUAUUUUAAGAAUAUUUCAUUGUAAGUAGCUCAAAGAAAAAAAAAAUAAUACAUUUAUUCAUCCAUAAAUAAGCGCAACAUUUCACACCAAAUCCAUCAAUUGUAUAUUAUGAGUACUUUAUUCCAAUGUGGUACUUUUUUCAUUCAGGGGUGUGCUAAAAGAGUUAUGAGAAGUCGAGACUGGAAUUGACACACCACAAGAUUUACAGUCACCUUCACAAAUUUGUUCAUCGAUGAACUGUAUCGGUGUCUCCAUUCACCUUCGAUAUAUUUUCGCGUCCUUAGUCAGCAAAUACCAGAAAAGUCUUCCGAUAUGUACAUUUAGCAAUGUGUAUUAAUGAUUUUCACGGGGUUCGGAUUUGCAUGGCGAUUUGUGCAUGCAUAUCAGGAGACGCUUACCUUGUAGAUGCACACGAUCUCACUGCUUUAAGUGUGUAUCUAAACAUUCCCGUCCAGGUUUCUUUUUGAACCCAAACGAUAUGGCAAAUGUAAAUUGAUACAGAUCUUCUUUAGGAUGUAUCGUGUCUUCUGAUUUGCUGAGAGUGUUUUGUUUAUCAUCUCAUAGACAUAAUUCAGUCAUGUGACCGUGACGUCAUCAACGUUUUUUAUGAUUUACGCCGGUUUAAAAUUGAAUUAAGAAUUAAAUUAUAAGAAAUGACUGUAAUAUGUUUUCUGUCUUUUCAAAAUAACAUAAAAAACGUGGUGCAUACUUAAUAAUGACACGCUACGCGGGUUAUUCAGUGUGCACCACAUCUUGUAUGCUAUUACUCAUAGACAGAAAAUUGGGGAACAACAGUCAACAUUGUGUUAUAAUCUUAUUCCCUAUUAAAACAAACAACUAUGCCAAAAACCAAAAAUGGCAGGAAGACUCCGUAAAGACAAAGUACUUCAGAAAAAACAAGAAUACAAAAAAGUAAAUGACGAUAACACAAUAUCUUACCUAACAAUGACUUCACGGUUCAGCUAUCAAGCAAGCUAACCAAAUAUAUUACCUUUAGCUACAUACUCAAUGAAAUCGGCUGUAAAUGUUUAUUGUUCUGUAUGUUACUUAGCUCACCCGGUUUUUUUGGGGUUCGUGUUGUUUAGUCUAUAGUUUUCCAUGUUAUGAUUUGCAUGCUGUAUUGUAUAUUUUGGUCAUUUUUUUUCUUUGUCAGUUUUUUUGACAGAUGAUUUUGAAUAUCCUUUUGAAACCUUUCGCCGGGCUUUAACUAUAAAUGAGUUGAUUUCUAAAAUAAGAUAUUUUAUUUUUUAGAAACCUCUCGUGUUUAUGAUUUUAUUAGAGUCUAGUAAAAUAUUCUGUGUUAUUUUAUAAGAAAUAUUUUGUUCAACGUUAACCCAAGAAUGCAUUACAUUCAGAAGGUUGAAGUUUGACUAAUAAAAGCAUCACUAAACCAAUAAUGGAUUCAUCAAGUGUUGAGGACAGAAAAAUCACUAUUGUUGCGCCUGCGUUUUCUCUACGUCACGCAUGCAUAAUCAAAGCUUGAAUUUAAUAUUCUUUACUUAUUCUAUUUUUUAAUUUGGUAGACAAUGGUAAUUUGUUUAUACGAGUCUACGGUUUAGCAAUAAAUACACAUUUGGUGGUGUAACCUUCAUGUACGACUUUAUUUAGGACCAGAUACACUGUCUCGGCAGUUUACAUUAAAAUGGUCCUUAUAGGUCCUUAAAACAAUUAAGAACAUCUGUUUUAAUAUAAAUUCCACAGAUCAUUUAAUUAUGUUAUAUUUUCUUGUUUCGUCCAUUUAUUUAAAUCCAAAACUAGUCUCACCAAUUCUAAAAAUAGAUUCAAAUCAAGGUUUAAAAUAUAUCACGGGAUUCGCAUGGAUUUGUAACACAACGAAACAACCGACAAGGUAUGAUUUUCUAUGCAUAAACCAAUAGCUAUGCGAAUCCAAACCCAGUCAAAAUUUAGUUAAUCUACACAUCAAACGAUUGUUCUGGUAUUAAAUAUCUAAGUCCGCGAAAACAUACGUAAGUGAGACAGCGAUACAGAAUUGUUCAGCGAAUUUGAAAAGGUGGCCGUAAAUCUUGUGGUGUGUUGAUUAUAGUCUUACAUUCCUCUUUUGUACAGGUUUUGUAUAAAGAGCACACUAUUGAAUAAAACAAAGAGCGAAUCUCAUUGAAAUAAGUACUAGUACUAAGAAUAUACAGUUGUGUGAUCAGUUUGAAAUCUUGAGCGUAUUUACGGAUUACCGUGAGUCAGGAGCCUCUGGCCUUUGUUAGUAUAUAGGUUUUUUUUUAAUUUAAUAUAGCAAUUCAGUCAUUGAUGUGUUUUAAUAUAUGAUAUUCAAAUCAUAUGAUGACAUCUGUGUUGAGAGAUGUGGAGAAGGAUGAACAAAGAAAGAAAAAACAAAAUAUGGGACAAUAUGGCCUUAUAUAAUAAUAUGGAAUAAAGGAAAACACACUUUGGACCUCACUGGUUAGCGUUUGUAACUAUCAAUUUCACAAAACAAACGCCUAUUUUUAAGUAUUUUUUCUGAUUGGUUAAAGUCCUACCAACCAACUAUACUUGAAAAUGAUAUUUAUAUAUAAGUUGCAGCAUCCUUUAAAUACACAAUGUCUCCAUUAGUUAGGUAUCCAAUCCACUAGCCAAAUGUUCCUAUCGUCAUUAUUGUGCGAUUGCAAGCUACUAUCGUUGUCGUAUCCAAUUCUCUUUUCCCUAAAGACAAAUACUCAAUUGGUACAUGUGAAGGCAUGUUACCAUUUGGUUUUGUUAUAUUGAAGCCGUCGUGAUUACCGACUUUAUCAUCUCUCCAUAUAUGAGUGCCGCCUGAAGAAAUAUUUUGACGAGAUUAUAUAUUUUUUCUGUAAUGUCUUGUCAAUUUCGAGUUCUGUAGUGUCUUUAAUAUGCUUCCAAAAAGUCAAUUGUUUCCGAAAUUUUUAUAGAAAUAUUAACAUGAUUGGAGUCCAUAUCCAUAUUGAAUUUUAUUUGAUGAACUAAAUUCCAAGAGUGUGCUAUCGUUUGUUGGAGAUGGUUUACCCAACACUUUUGGUAAUCUUUUAUAGAAUUGGCAUACAUUUGUGAAUGUCACAUUUAUUUCGAAUACUUGUCUAAAAUGGUCAUUUGAUGGCAUAACAACAUCCAUUUCUAUAUAUUCUGCAGCAGCGAAAACUGUAGAAAACUGCAAGAAUCUAUUCCCUACUCCGCCUUGUAAAAUUUGACAAAGUCGUCCUUUUCUUUGUCGCAAUAUUUUUUUUAUGAUUUCUAUUAAUGUUCUAUUAUCUCUAUAUG